CCCAGCAGUCCCAUUGAAGCCAAAGAAUGCAUGAGUUGAUGACCCAACUUCUUGCUCCACAGUGAAAUGGUAAUCCAAUGACAUCUCUUGCAUUCUUGUCAAUAAGCACUCAUCUGCAUUCACAAACCUCCAGCGAGCCAAGGGCAAUGUCAGGAUUGUGUACCAAGAAAGGAAUGGCACGUCUGAGAUAAUCAGGCUCAGGCUGGAAAUCAGCAUCAAAGAUAGCUACGUACUCGCAAUGUUUAACAUAGCUUCUCUUUAGCCC
rnacentral:misc_RNA from 1 species